GGAGAGGUGUCGGAGCGGUUGAACGAGCUAGUCUUGAAAACUAGUAAGGAGGCAACUCUUUCGGGGGUUCGAAUCCCCCCCUCUCCGCCA
rnacentral:tRNA from 1 species